UACGAAGGGGGCUAGCGUUGCUCGGAAUCACUGGGCGUAAAGCGCACGUAGGCGGCUUUUUAAGUCAGGGGUGAAAUCCUGGAGCUCAACUCCAGAACUGCCUUUGAUACUGGCGAUCUCGAGUCCGGGAGAGGUGAGUGGAACUGCGAGUGUAGAGGUGAAAUUCGUAGAUAUUCGCAAGAACACCAGUGGCGAAGGCGGCUCACUGGCCCGGUACUGACGCUGAGGUGCGAAAGCGUGGGGAGCAAACAGG
rnacentral:rRNA from 1 species